rnacentral:rRNA from 1 species
UACAGAGGUCCCGAGCGUUGUUCGGAUUCACUGGGCGUAAAGGGUGCGUAGGCGGACAUUUAAGUUAGAGGUGAAAGCCCAGGGCUCAACCCUGGAAUAGCCUUUAAUACUGGAUGUCUUGAGUUCGGGAGAGGUGAGUGGAAUGCCGAGUGUAGAGGUGAAAUUCGUAGAUAUUCGGCGGAACACCAGUGGCGAAGGCGACUCACUGGCCCGAUACUGACGCUGAGGAGCGAAAGCGUGGGGAGCGAACAGG